GAUGAACGCUGGCGGCGUGCCUAAUACAUGCAAGUCGAGCGAACGGACGAGAAGCUUGCUUCUCUGAUGUUAGCGGCGGACGGGUGAGUAACACGUGGAUAACCUACCUAUAAGACUGGGAUAACUUCGGGAAACCGGAGCUAAUACCGGAUAAUAUUUUGAACCGCAUGGUUCAAAAGUGAAAGACGGUCUUGCUGUCACUUAUAGAUGGAUCCGCGCUGCAUUAGCUAGUUGGUAAGGUAACGGCUUACCAAGGCAACGAUGCAUAGCCGACCUGAGAGGGGGAUCGGCCACACUGGAACUGAGACACGGUCCAGACUCCUACGGGAGGCAGCAGUAGGGAAUCUUCCGCAAUGGGCGAAGGCCUGACGGAGCAACGCCGCGUGAGUGAUGAAGGUCUUCGGAUCGUAAAACUCUGUUAUUAGGGUAGAACAUAUGUGUAAGUAACUGUGCACAUCUUGACGGUACCUAAUCAGAAAGCCACGGCUAACUACGU
rnacentral:rRNA from 1 species